ACAGAGGGUGCGAGCGUUAAUCGGAAUCACUGGGCUUAAAGGGUGCGUAGGCGGAUGCAUAGGCGCUUUGUGAAAUCCCACGGCUCAACCGUGGAAUUGCUUGGCGAACCAUGCGUCUUGAGGUUGGUAGAGGUCACUGGAACGAUAGGUGGAGCGGUGAAAUGCGUAGAUAUCUAUCGGAACGCCAAAGGUGAAGACAGGUGACUGGGCCAAAUCUGACGCUGAGGCACGAAAGCGUGGGGAGCAAACGGG
rnacentral:rRNA from 1 species